ACUCUCGUACUCGUAUAUCAAUACCGGCUGCUUCAAGCCUCCUACCCGAUUGAAACUGCUGAGGACGGAAAAACCCUAAGGAAACCGGGGGAAAACAUAGGAAAAAUCAACGAAAAGAACAAAGAAAGACGGAAUAAAUCGAAAGUUAAAUCAACUGAUAAUGUCAGAUAUAGAGGAGUACCGCUGCUUUAUUGGGGGCCUGUCAUGGUCCACCACAGAUGAAAAUCUGAAGGAUGCAUUUGAAAAAUUUGGCCACCUUUCCGAGGCAAAGGUAGUUGUCGACAAGUUUUCUGGUCGAUCUCGUGGAUUCGGUUUUGUUACUUUUGAUGAGAAAACGGCCAUGGAAGAUGCUAUUGAAGCAAUGAAUGGAAUUGAUUUGGAUGGACGAUCUAUCACUGUAAAUAGAGCUCAGCCACAAGGAUCUUCUAGGGAUCGUAAUGGCGACCGUGAUUAUGAUCGUUACCAUGGUCGUGGUCGUGAUCGUGGCCGAGACUUUGGUGGAGGACGUGGUUCAAACAGUGGAGAGUGCUUCAAAUGUGGCAAGCCUGGGCAUUUUGCAAGGGAGUGCCCAUCUGGUGAUGGUGCAAGAGGAGAUAGGUAUGGUGGCCGGGAUGAUAGGUAUGGCAGUGGUGGCAGUGGUAAUAGUCGUUAUGGACCUGACCGUAAUGGGGACCGAUAUUCUGGGCGCAACAGGGAUGGGGGAGGCCGUAGCGGGCAAGGAAGUGAUCGAUAUAAUCGUGACCGGUCUGGUCCAUAUGAACGUCCCAGUGGAGGGGGUUACAGAUCUUGAGGAAGUGGUGCUUUUUUGCCAGGAUGCCAGUGGAGGAUUCAAUGGGAUGCUUUCAUUGAGUAGGAUUUUUGGUUAUAACUGCAAUUAAUUUGGAGCGUCUCUUUGUUGAGACUUGAAAAUAACCGAUUAUUCACACUCGAGAACUGCCUGAAAUAAUAGAGUAUCAGCAGUGGUCUCUUGUGCUGUUUUGAUCCCCCCAGAAGAUGGUUUGACCCUACUUGGUGGGAAGAAACCUGGCUACAGUUUGGCCUUUGUGGGCAUUUUGGAUUGAUGCUUGGGUUACUUGAUGCUAUUCUUGCUUAUUUGGACAUGGUUUUUUUGCACAUUACUGCUUAAGCUUUUCUGCAGCAGCAGUGAUCUCCUGCAACAUAGACAUGGAUUGAUAUGGUCUGAAACUUUUACCUUUUUUAUCAAAGGAGAUUCCUUCCUGCAUAUGAUGCUGUGCUGCAACUUUUGUCAAGAUCUUUGACAGACUCAGCAGUCAUCGUAGGUGUGUUACUGUUCUUUUUUAUGAUUUUCGAUCAGACAAGAUUUUACAAUGAGUCAUCCUACUCAAUGAUCUGGUCAUGAUUCCUGGGUUUCUCAACAGAGCUUCAGUGACCAAGUCAUCCUGUUUGGUCAACUAUGGUUCUCUCAGUUUCACAGUUUCUUUUUGUAUCUAUUUGCUAUCUCUAGAACUUCAAGCCAACAAUUUCGCUUUGUGAAGGCUGUCGGUCGUUCCUUGGGUCAUUCUGGAAUUUGUCAUUUUGUUUUGCGAAAUAACAUAUUUGCUAGAUAUUGGGAUUUGCAAACGCAAGAUGCUCUAUGACAGUCUAUGAGAAUCUGUAACAUAAGAAUUUAUGUUAAUCUGGAUCCAGGAUCGUAAUUGAAGAGACCAUUUUGCAUGUCCA